GAUUUUGUUACCGCUGUCUUCAUAUAUAUGUUAGUUAAACGGUGAAGAAAGAAAAGAAGGAAAGAGAGAGAAAGAAACCGACGGUCACAGAGAAGAGGGUGGCGACGAACAAAGAAAACGACGGUUGAAGAAAGAAAAGACGACAGAAGAAUAAGAGAACAACGGUGAAGAAAGACGAAGAAAGACGGUCGACAUUGCAGAGAAGAAGAAAACGAUGGUGAUGAAGGUAAGGACGACGGAAGAAGGAGAAGAAGGUGGCGACGACAGCGACGGUCAUAGGGAAGAAAGCUAAAUCGACACAGAAAAGAAGUGGAACGAGGCAAAGGCGGUGAUGGAGUCCACUGUCCCUGUUGGAUCCGCAGAGCUGCCUCCUCUGCAGGAUGGUGGCGCCGCCGUUUCUUCGCUGGUGAGUGCUGCGAAUUAAGGAUGAAUGACUUGCUACAUUUAAAGAAGAGAAUGGUGAAGGAGCAGCUAGUAGCAAGUUGAUGACACCGGUGAAGAGAACGUGAUAGCAGGUAACUAGGAGCUAAAAUCAUGUUUAGGAAAUUCACUGAAUUUUGAUGUCAGUGAAUAUGGUUGUGAAUGAACUAGACAAGACCUUGCACCACCAAAUAAGAAGCCACUUUCUGAAGGAAAAAGUGAGGCUCACAAAGUGGUACGCCCCAUGCUCUCGAAAGGAAAGAUCCAAGGUUGCAUUUGCAAAAAGGGCAGAUUUGAGGAUGGCUAAUAUCUUGCAUAAGAUGUCAUCAUUGGUGGGUGGAAUGCUCUUCGUAGGUGACGAUUUAUACAUUCAUACUGCAUGGCAUCUUGCAACCGUAAUUGGUGUCAGUAACUGCAACAUGCUCCUUGAGCAGUGCUUUCGUAGCAAUGCUAAGGAAAUUGACUUCAUUAAGGUUUAGCUGGUGACCAUCUGCAAAUAAAAGACAAGGUAAUGGAUGUUGAGUUAUCAUAGAAAAGUGAAUCUCAGCUACCAUGUGCUUCAGUUUCAGCCAAACAUAGUGGAAAAGAAAAUAAUGUGGAUAUGAUGUCUCCUUCACAUCCAAUGUAAUCGGAUCAAUUUCUGGACACACCAAAGACAACGACUAUGGCCUUGCUGGUGAGAAAUUGUUUUUUAUAGUUUUCUUGGUAGUUUUGUCAAUAAUCCUAUAG